rnacentral:rRNA from 1 species
AACGAACGCUGGCGGCAGGCUUAGCACAUGCAAGUCGAGCGCCCCGCAAGGGGAGCGGCAGACGGGUGAGUAACGCGUGGGAAUCUACCCAUCUCUACGGAAUAACGCAUGGAAACGUGUGCUAAUACCGUAUACGUCCUUCGGGAGAAAGAUUUAUCGGAGAUGGAUGAGCCCGCGUUGGAUUAGCUAGUUGGUGGGGUAAAGGCCUACCAAGGCGACGAUCCAUAGCUGGUCUGAGAGGAUGAUCAGCCACACUGGGACUGAGACACGGCCCAGACUCCUACGGGAGGCAGCAGUGGGGAAUAUUGGACAAUGGGCGCAAGCCUGAUCCAGCCAUGCCGCGUGAAUGAUGAAGGCCCUAGGGUUGUAAAGCUCUUUCACCGGUGAAGAUAAUGACGGUAACCGGAGAAGAAGCCCCGGCUAACUUUGUGCAGCCGCCGCGGUAACAC